rnacentral:rRNA from 1 species
UACGUAGGCAGCAAGCGUUGUUCGGAGUUACUGGGCGUAAAGGGUGUGUAGGCGGUUCUUUAAGUUUGCUGUGAAAUCUCCCGGCUUAACCGGGAGGGUGCGGUGAAUACUGAGGGACUAGAGUACGGGAGAGGAAAGUGGAAUUCCUGGUGUAGCGGUGAAAUGCGUAGAUAUCUGAAGGAACACCAGUGGCGAAAGCGGCUUCCUGGUCCAGUACCGACGUUCAGGCACGAAAGCGUGGGGAGCAAACAGG